rnacentral:lncRNA from 1 species
AAUUUUCCAAGGAUUCGAAAUCUCACUUAAAACGUUGCUCUAAAGCGAAAUUAGCCUAUUCUGGACACGCUUGCCAUAAGGCGGGUGUGCAGACGACUCGCUCUAAUUCCUAAAAUGACUACGCAACAUUCCUCAAGAAAUUCCUGAACUUUCUUCUUCAUUAAUCUUUCUCAAAUAUCAAACUCCUGUCACGCUUACACUGAUUCUACGCGUGAGUCGGAAAUUAGCUUGUUCUGAAAAUCCAGGUCUUA